GAGGGGCAGUGUCCCUACCCAGGCUUGGAGGAGGAGCCUCAAGGGGUGUGUGUGGUUGGGGGAGACAGGCGGUGUCACCUGUGCUUAGACCAGGGGCGGUGGGCGGGUACCCUUGAGGUGGCAAGGUCACACUGCUCAUCAGAAGUUUCUCACUAGGGUCUUCUCUGGCCCAGCCUUUGACUGAAGCUGGUCUGGAGACAGGGGCGUUAGAGAAGUGACUCAUAGAUGGCCUAAAUAAGCGGGGCCACUCAAGGACCCAGGACAGGGGGAAGAGGGCCAACCCAUCUGGACCGCAGGCAAACCCCAUGGCCUUUGAGAGAAGAGAGAAGAGGACCCGGUGAAGUAGGCUCCGAGGGCCUCAGCCCAGCAGGAGCGCAGGGAGCUGCACCAGGAACUCACAGAGGAUCAGGGAGAAUUCUGAGAACAUGCUACUGUGGUGCUGCCUAGAGAGGAAGGAUAAAUGAUGACAAGUCUCAUCAGUGGAAUGUGGUUGAUGAAGUGAGGUCUUCAAUUUUCUCAUCUACUGUGUGGUCAUGUUAUUUUCCUCAUCUGAGGCUUAAAAACUCACCUGCAUGCAGCACAUGACAGCUUAAAAUCUCUUGUGAACAAAACAGUAACAAAGACACCCACCAGCGUUGAGCAUCCCGUGUUGAUGACAGCGACCACCAGGGGUCAACGUCCUCUUCACAAUCCUGUGUCAGAGCAUCACUUGACUGAUUUCAUUAGCAACUUCCCAGGAGAAUCAGCUUACAAAAUACUUGUCCCAUUUUCCAUGCAGAUGUAACCCAUCUAUUUUACUGAAGAAAUGGGAAGAGCUGAAUGCUGAAUACACUGAAUGUCUGCAGGUUGUGCAAGUUUGUGACUUUAUCACUUUCUAAUUUCUGAUCUGUGUGGACCACUCUACAGAUUUUUCUCACUGGUGUGAUCAGCCUUCUGGAUGUCAAAUAUAAUAGACUUUCAAUAAUAUAAAAGUCAACACAAGCUCCUCAUGGUUUCAGUGCUCAGUGAUGACUCUAAACUUACACAAUGUGUUUCUUUAUUAGUUUUGUUUUCUGGUAUCUCUACUCGGCAUCUUCACCACACCCAUUUUAUGUUUCUUAUACAGGCUUUCUUCUAUGAAAUGCUAUGUCAUGAAUAUGCAAAUAACCUGAGAUCCACUGAGGUAAAUUUGGAUGUCUGUGCCCUGAGAGCAUCACCCAACAACCACAUCCCUCCUCUAUAGAAGCCCCUGAGAACACAGCUCCUCACCAUGGACUGUACCUGGGGGAUCCACUUCUUGGUGGCAGCUGCCACAGGUGUCCAUUCCCAGGUUCAGCUGUUGCAGCCUGGGGCUGAGGUGAAGAAGCCUGGGUCCUCAGUGAAGGUCUCCUGCCAGGCUUCCAGAUACACCUUCACCAAAUACUUUACACGGUGGGUGUGACAAAGCCCUGGACAAGGGCAUAGUGGAUGGGAUGAAUCAACCCUUACAAUGAUAACACACACUAUGCACAGACGUUCUGGGGCAGAGUCACCAUUACCAGUGACAGGUCCAUGAGCACAGCCUACAUGGAGCUGAGCAACCUGAGAUCUGAAGACAUGGUCAUGUAUUACUGUGUGAGAGACACAGUGCAAAAACCCACAUCCUGAGAGUGUCAGAAACCCCAGGAAGGAGACACCUGUGCUGACACAGAGGAGAUGACAAAGAUUAUUAGAUUAAAGAUUUGCUUAGAAAAUGACAUUAAGUCAUUAAAGAAAAGGAACAAUAUUAAUGUGUAUUUGAGAAAUUUUAAUUAUUUGAGAGAUUUUUCAUACAACAUUUAUUCUGUAAACAAAUUUCAAUGAUUAGAGAAUUAAUCAAAUUAAUGAAACUAAUAUAGAACUUCCUCUGAAGGUAUCUCUGUAAACAUUAAUUUCUUAAUCAGUGCUGUAAGUAUUUUGGAAUACAGACACAAAAUCACAUUUUAAGUCUGCAUUUAUAUCUAUUAAAAAUGCCAAAAAAAUCUCCUUUUGUGCGUGUAGCAUUUUGAAUUCCCACCAUCAAUGCAUGAUAGUUCUUGGUUUUCCACAUUCAUAUUGCCAUGUAUCCUUAUGAGAGUUGUGUGUUUUAACCAAUCUAGUAGGUGAGUAAUGGGAUCUAAUUUUUAUUUAAAUGCACAUGUCCCUCAAAAAGUUCAUAUUUAACAAUUUUCCAAUAACUUUUGUUGAGAUGCCU
rnacentral:lncRNA from 1 species